rnacentral:rRNA from 1 species
GACGGAGGAUGCAAGCGUUAUCCGGAAUUAUUGGGCGUAAAGCGUCCGCAGGUGGCUGUUCAAGUCUGCUGUCAAAGCGCAGAGCUUAACUCUGUACAGGCGGUGGAAACUGAAGAGCUAGAGUAUGGUAGGGGUAGAGGGAAUUCCCGGUGUAGCGGCGAAAUGCGUAGAUAUCGGGAAGAACACCAGUGGCGAAAGCGCUCUACUGGACCGCAACUGACACUCAGGGACGAAAGCUAGGGGAGCGAAUGGG